UGAAUCAACAUCCGGAGAAGGCAGCCUA
rnacentral:piRNA from 1 species